rnacentral:rRNA from 1 species
CGGGGGAGCAAGCGUUGUUCGGAUUUACUGGGCGUAAAGGGCGCGUAGGCGGCCACCGCAAGUCAAUUGUGAAAUCUCCGGGCUUAACUCGGAAAGGUCAACUGAUACUGCGGGGCUAGAGUGCGGAAGGGGCAACUGGAAUUCUCGGUGUAGCGGUGAAAUGCGUAGAUAUCGAGAGGAACACCUGCGGCGAAGGCGGGUUGCUGGGCCGACACUGACGCUGAGGCGCGAAAGCUAGGGGAGCGAACGGGAUUAGAUACCCCGGUAGUCCUAGCCUUAAACGAUGAAUGCUUGGUGUCUGGGGUUACAAAGUCCCCGGGUGCCGUCGCUAACGCUUUAAGCAUUCCGCCUGGGGAGUACGGUCGCAAGACUG